rnacentral:rRNA from 1 species
CGGUAAAGAUUUAUCGCUCUUGGAACGGCCUGCGGUCUAUCAGCUAGUUGGUACGGUAACGGCGUACCAAGGCUACGACGGAUAGGGGGGGUGAGAGCCCGGUCCCCACCGAUGGAACUGAGACACGGUCCAUACUCCUACGGGAGGCCGCAGUCGAGAAUCUUCCGCAAUGGACGAAAGUCUGACGGAGCGACGCCGCGUGGUGGAUGAAGUCCCUCGGGACGUAAACACCUUUUAUGAGUGAAGAAGUUUAUUGACAUUAGCUCAUGAAUAAGGGGCUCCCAACUCUGUGCCAGCAGGAGCGGUAAUACAGAGGCCCCAAGCAUUAUCCGGAUUCACUGGGCGUAAAGGGUGCGUAGGCGGUUAUAUUAGUCGGGUGUUAAAUCCUUGGGCUCAACCCAAGGCUCGCAUUCGAAACGGUAUAACUAGAAGGAGUCAGAGGUAAGCAGAACUCUCGGUGUAGGGGUGAAAUCCGUUGAUAUCGAGGGGAAUACCAAAUGCGAAGGCAGCUUACUGGGACUUUCUUGACGCUGAGGCACGAAAGCGCGGGUAGCGAACGGGAUUAGAUACCCCGGUAGUCCACGCCCUAAACGCUGUCUGUUGGCCUUGGGGGGAAUCGACCCCCUCCGAGGCGAAGUUAAUACGUUAAACAGACCGCCUGGGUAGUACGAGCGCAAGCUUAAAACCCAAAGGAAUAGACGGGGGCUCGCACAAGCGGUGGAUCAUGUGGCUUAAUUCGUCGAUAAGCGAAAAACCUUACCAAGGCUAGAGAUCAUACUGCACGCUUCGGGAAACCGAAGAAGCCUUCGAGGGUGUAUGACAGGUGAUGCAUGGCCGUCGUCAGUUCGUGGCUUGAGCUGUUCCCUUAAGUGGGGAAACGAACGCAACCCUCGUUGCCUGUUACAAGUGUCAGGCGAGACUGCUCCCUCACGGGAGAGGAAGGUGAGGAUGACGCCAGGUCAGCAUGUCCCUUGAUGCCUUGGGCCGCACACGUGAUACAAUGGGACGUACAACGGGACGC